rnacentral:rRNA from 1 species
CGUGUAGGCGGCCAAGCAGGUCCGUUGUGAAAACUGGAGGCUUAACCUCCAGACGUCGACGGAAACCGCGUGGCUAGAGUCCAGAAGAGGAGAGUGGAAUUCCUGGUGUAGCGGUGAAAUGCGCAGAUAUCAGGAAGAACACCAAUGGCGAAGGCAGCUCUCUGGGACGGUACUGACGCUGAGACGCGAAAGCGUGGGGAGCGAACA